rnacentral:lncRNA from 1 species
GGAGAGCGAGCGAGGUUUUGGGGAGCUGCCUUGAACUGGCAGCUUCGACCUUUUCUUCUCUGCAGGUGGAGAGAUUGAGAAUCUUCAAUUCUUCAGCUGAAAUCUUCCUUUCUUGUGCAUACCUCCUGGGCACUGAACCACACAAAAGCCUUGGAAAAGAAGUAUGUGAGUGUAAUUCAAAGAUGACAAUGAUACACACAUUGACUUACCUCAUCCCGAUGUACACAAAUCAGCAAAGCUUGGCAUAUCA